AUGUGCGAUCAUACCAGCACUUAUGCACUGAAUUUUAUUAGAAUUCUACAGUUAUACGUGUUAGGCGAUAGUAGUACUAGUAUGGAUGAUCUCCUAUAAAAAAAACUCAAAAUGUAUGUC
rnacentral:rRNA from 1 species